rnacentral:rRNA from 1 species
GACGAACGCUGGCGGCGUGCUUAACACAUGCCAGUCGAACGAUGAAGCAAAGAAUCGAAGCUUCGGCAGAAAUUCAUUUCGGAUUAGUGGCAGACGGGUGAGUAACGCGUGAGCAACCUACCUCUUACAAAGGGAUAGCCUCGGGAAACCGGGAUUAAUACCAUAUAACAUUGUGACGAAGCAUUUCGAUGCAAUCAAAGCUACGGCGGUAAGAGAUGGGCUCGCGUCCCAUUAACCGGAUGGUGAGGUAACGGCUCACCAUAGUGACGAUGGGUAACCGGGAUGAGAGGGUGAACGGUCACACUGGAGCUGAGACACAGUCCAGACUCCUACGGGAGGCAGCAGUGGGGAAUAUUGCACAAUGGAGGGAACUCUGAUGCAGCGACGACGCGUGAGUGAUGAAGGAAUUCGUUUCGUAAAACUCUGUUCUAUGGGAAGAAAAGGACUGUACCAUAGGAGAAAGCACCGGCUAAAUACGUG